AGGCUUGAUUUUUAUUAAAAACAAUCAAGUAUCGUUACAUCCCCCUCCCCUGGGAAAAAUUGAAGUUGCGUUGAAGACACAAGUUCAAUUUAAUAAGGGGUAACUGGCCCAUCAAAAAAAAAAAAAAAAAAAAUAAAAUUAAUCGGAAGUUCAAAUCGGUUAAGUGCUCGCUAUCUCACCCUUACAGAGUUCUCAUCCUAAUCUAAACAGUACAAUAGAAGUGAUAUCCGGAUCUGCUCACAGGCGUUGUUCAGUAAUCGUCCGGUGUGCGCUCCUUCCAUGUAUAGUGGCUCCCUCCUAUCCAUGAUCCAUGAUCCAUACUCUGCGCUCUGCGUUACGCUCCGUGAUCGGUGUCGUCCCUAGCUAUGGACCGAAGUGCGUGUGAUCUUUGAUCCGAUUGUCGGUAGACGUUUGACAUAACCUAUUCCGUGGCACUCUAUGACUGUCGUUGGUUCGGUGGUAUCUGUCAGAAACAACGUGCUUUUAGUGGAAUGAAAUUACUCCAGAAUUGGGAAAUGAAAUCGAUGGCAACAUAAAACGGUGAGUACUCCAUAUCGAUUGUUCCAUUUCAUAUUAACGGUUGGAUUUUAGGGAACUAUCAUUCACGAUGAAAUGGGCUGAUGAGGCAUCUUUGAUGUUGACCACUUGUUGGCACUGUUUCCUUCUUGGAUGUUGGUUCGGUGCAUCAUUUGGCUACGAAGAUGGGUCAAGCAGGUGGAAAUGUACCCAAGCUUGAAAUCACUCGUUGUUGGAGGUGAAUUGGAUCCUCUCACAACACUGGAGGUGGGUGUGGACAUUCACUGUGUGCCAGAAUAUUGUUCGGAGUUGGAACGUAAUCCCUGACGGAGGAAUGGUGGAGGCUCUCUGAUCCGACAGUCCCCGUUAGAUCAUACACUACAGGAGAGACUACCUUAAUAACGGUAUACGGUCCGGCGAACUUUUUAGAU